rnacentral:lncRNA from 1 species
UGUGGCAUCUUUCUGAACUCCCCCGAUCGUUCGACCUUCCACAGUGUCCUUCAGAUUCCUCCAACGGACAAACUCCUAUCGUACCCUCUAGAUUUCUUCAAUAAUGAGCUCCUUCAGUCGUCUAUCGGACUGCUCCAAAUACUCUUUGAGCUUCACUAUCAGCCGAUUUUCUACAGUAAUCGACUACUCUUCGAAUCUCUUCCAGACUUCCUCCUGUCACGAUCGACUUUACUCCGAGCUUCUUUCGAACUUUGUC